UACGUAGGGGGCGAGCGUUGUCCGGAUUUACUGGGCGUAAAGCGCGUGUAGGCGGGAGAUUAAGUUGGGUGUGAAAGCCCGGGGCUCAACCCCGGGAUGCCGCCCAAGACUGGUCUCCUUGAGGACGGAAGAGGGGAGUGGAAUUCCUGGUGUAGCGGUGAAAUGCUUAGAUAUGACAUAGAACACCAAUUGCGAAGGCAGCUUACUACACAAUUAUUGACGCUGAGGCACGAAAGCGUGGGGAUCAAACAGG
rnacentral:rRNA from 1 species